rnacentral:lncRNA from 1 species
GUCGUUUGUUUAUGUUUUACAUAUUUUUUUUUCGUUCAUUUUUUUUUUAUAUAAUUAAGGCCGUUAGUUUUCUCGUUUGAAUUGUUUUACAUUGUCAUAUCGGGGACUUUUAUAGCUGACUAUGCGGUAUGGGCUUUGCUCAUUGUUGAAGGCCGUACGGUGAUCUAUAAAUGUUAAUUUCUGUGUCAUUUUGGUCUCUUGUGGACAGCUGUCUCAUUGGCAAGCAUACCCACAUUUUUUUUAUUAUAGAUCCAACGCUGCAAUUUUCACAAAAUAUAUCAAAUUUUCCACCUUGUCGCACAUACAUAUGGAUAAAAUCCUUACAGCUUAUUUCCUAAUGCACGUGGAGCAAAACUUUGGUUAGCUUGCUUGCUUUGUUUGUAUAUUGUACAAAAUAUAAAAUAUACAAGUUAAACUAUGCCUAUAUAUAUAUAUUGUUUAAAGAUGUCAAUCUUAUUUUCAAAGCUUGUAUAAACAACUAUACAAACAAAGCAAGCAAGCCAACCAAAGUUUUACUUUGCAGGUUUAAGAAAUCAGCUGUAAUGAUUUUAUUCAGUUUGGCAAAUGUCCGAGCCCGUUAAAAAACGAACAAACUGAAACUACAGUUGCUGACUUCACUACCUUAAAAAAAGGGAACAGUUUGGAAGUCCCAUAUACUGAAAUGUGACCAACAAAAAUACUUAUUGAUUUUGUUAACACUGCCAUGUAUGUAAAUAUUUCUUCGCCUUUUUUACGAACACAAAAUUCAAGGAUCCCACAUUUGCCUUUAAUUAUCUAUACGAACAUUGCUGUACUCUU